UGCCCAGCAACUCCUAUCCCUACACCCUCGUGGUACUGGCCGGGGUACGAGUAACUUUGGGGAAGG
rnacentral:ribozyme from 1 species